rnacentral:rRNA from 1 species
GAGGAAAAGAAACCAACAGGGAUUGCCUUAGUAACGGCGAGUGAAGCGGCAAAAGCUCAAAUUUGAAAUCUGGCACCUUCGGUGUCCGAGUUGUAAUUUGAAGAAGGUAACUUUGGAGUUGGCUCUUGUCUAUGUUCCUUGGAACAGGACGUCACAGAGGGUGAGAAUCCCGUGCGAUGAGAUGCCCAAUUCUAUGUAAAGUGCUUUCGAAGAGUCGAGUUGUUUGGGAAUGCAGCUCUAAGUGGGUGGUAAAUUCCAUCUAAAGCUAAAUAUUGGCGAGAGACCGAUAGCGAACAAGUACAGUGAUGGAAAGAUGAAAAGAACUUUGAAAAGAGAGUGAAAAAGUACGUGAAAUUGUUGAAAGGGAAGGGCUUGAGAUCAGACUUGGUAUUUUGCGAUCCUUUCCUUCUUGGUUGGGUUCCUCGCAGCUUACUGGGCCAGCAUCGGUUUGGAUGGUAGGAUAAUGACUAAGGAAUGUGGCUCUACUUCGGUGGAGUGUUAUAGCCUUGGUUGAUACUGCCUGUCUAGACCGAGGACUGCGUCUUUUGACUAGGAUGUUGGCAU